CCUGACUUACUGUGCAGCAGGAGGUGAGAGACCACUGCUGCUGUGGGCUCCCACCACUGAGGCAGCUCCUGCCGCUGAGGCAGCUGGGUUCUGGUAACAGUAAUACAAGCUUUUAGAAUGGAAAGACACAACAGAAAACAGGUUCACUAUCCUCUAUAAUCUUUUUACAAGAAGUGUAAUAAAAUAUCAUCCUUAGAGUGGCUGCCUGGAAAGCACCACAUACCGAAGAUCAUAUCUAAAAGGGACCAUAGGAAAAAGACUGGCAAGCAAUCAAGAGAUUUUUUUUGACAGCUGAGAAGACAGAUGUGAGCAUAAAAACUCCGGUCGAGCUAGAUACAACAGUGUAGUUCGGUUUGGAACAAUGAAAUGUGAGUAAAAUGUUCCUGAGCAAUUUCUUGGCUUUCUCAAACAUGAAAAGAAAAAGACCUCUUUCCUUGGUCUUUGACAGUUUUUCCCUUUCCACGGCCUGACACAUAAAUGUCAUAAUUGCCCACUUUCCGCCACAUGGAUGAAUACUGGUUUUUACAGCAACAAAGUGAAGGAAUUUGAGACCCCAGAUAAAAUUAUGGGCAAGAUUGUCCUGCCAUCUUUGAAGAAGUAGACUGCUAUAUUAUCAAAAUAAACUA